rnacentral:misc_RNA from 1 species
GAUGAAGAACGUAGCGAAAUGCGAUAAGUAAUGUGAAUUGCAGAAUUCAGUGAAUCAUCGAAUCUUUGAACGCAUCUUGCGCUCCUUGGUAUUCUGAGGAGCAUGCCUGUUUGAGUGUCAUUAAAUUCUCAACUACACUGACUUUGAAUUGGUGUGGCUUGGAUUUGGGGGGAAAAUUGUUGUGGGCUUUUUGUAUAGUCUGCUCCCCUGAAAUUGAUUAGCGGUACCUUUGUGGAACUGUCUACAGGUGUGAUAAUUAUCUACAUCUUAGACAUCUGCUGGAAUGCUGCUCUCUAAACCUUACUUGUAUUGACAAUCUUGACCUCAAAUCAGGUAGGACUACCCGCUGAACUUAAGCAUAUCAAUAAGCGGAGA